AGGACAGGAAGGAAUGCAGAUGCCUGCGAAGGCCUGGUCUCAGCGGCUGUGAAAGUGCUGCCACAAGCAAAGAAAAAACAACUGCAACGGCUUGUCAAAACUCAGUCAAUAGAGGCCAUUAAGGAGCAGAAGCGAGCAGCAAGGGUGUUAGGUGCAGUAGAUGGUGAAGGAAUUGCCUGGACUGAUUUGGCGCCUGAGCUAGUGGAAGCAGUGUUCGACCGCUUGGAUCCUUGCUCCUUGGGUGUCUCUGCUUGCGUCUGUACCGCCUGGCAUAAUGAGGCAAGGAAGGAGGGCAGAUGGAUGCGCAUGUAUGAGAAGGCAUGCGGCAUCACUUUCCGAGAAGCAACCGGGCAGCAGCUAUUCAGAGAGGCAGUCCGGGACCUUGUGAAAGGCGUGUCGUCUGCCAGUCUGAUGUGCUCAAUACAUCAACAUGAAGAGGAUGCAACAUCAGUUGCAAAGCACUAAUGCGCAGUCGGUGCAUGCAUUGACUCCACUUGUGGCUCACAGGGAAAAGCAGGCAAUAUCUGAGGUACAGUAGUGGGCGUCGUCUUGGGGGCGGCGUCCUCUUCUGGCUUGACCCAGCUGCAGAUCCCAACAGUUGCCCUCCCAUCUGUCCUCUUAUACGAGAGGUGAGGCUGGUCAGGCUCGCACUUACCUUAUUUUCAGAGCCUCAUAUGACUUUUAAGAUGGUUUCUGGGAUUGUUCAGGUGACACGGUACAUUUUGGAAGGGCGGGAAGCAGGAUUGCUGUCUGAUGCCACCAUUUCAGACAGCUCUGAUGAUGAAUGCGCACACAUCAAGACAACUUAUAGAGGAAAAUUGUGGCAACGAUUGGAGUAAAGGAACACACAGGAUUUUUGCACUUUUUGCCUAGUGCAACUGCAAGAUCAGGAUUGCUUCAGGAAAUGUUUCCACCUUGUUGAAGAGUAGCAUGAACUAUGCAGUGAGGCAUGCAACAUGCAGGGCAUGUGUCUUUGUGUUAGGAAUUUUGUGGAUCCAUUUAUGGGCAAUGCAAGCGCAACUCCCCGGUCCAUAUAGCUGGCGUCUUGUGCCACCAUACGAUGCCACCGCUCCAUUCAAACAACUGCGCAGCCGCUGCGUUAUUUUUAGUGCGGCUACAAAAAAUCAGCGCAGCCUGGCAGUGCAAAUGCACUCCCAUUGACG
rnacentral:lncRNA from 1 species